AGCGAACGCUGGCGGCAGGCCUAACACAUGCAAGUCGAACGGACCCUUCGGGGUUAGUGGCGGACGGGUGGGUAACACAUGGGAACGUGCCUUUAGGUUCGGAAUAGCUCCUGGAAACGGGUGGUAAUGCCGAAUGUGCCCUUCGGGGGAAAGAUUUAUCGCCUUUAGAGCGGCCCGCGUCUGAUUAGCUAGUUGGUGAGGUAAUGGCUCACCAAGGCGACGAUCAGUAGCUGGUCUGAGAGGAUGACCAGCCACAUUGGGACUGAGACACGGCCCAAACUCCUACGGGAGGCAGCAGUGGGGAAUCUUGCGCAAUGGGCGAAAGCCUGACGCAGCCAUGCCGCGUGGAUGAUGAAGGUCUUAGGAUUGUAAAAUCCUUUCACCGGUGAAGAUAAUGACUGUAGCCGGAGAAGAAGCCCCGGCUAACUUCGUGCCAGCCGCCGCCGUAA
rnacentral:rRNA from 1 species